CCUACGGGUGGCAGCAGUGGGGAAUAUUGGACAAUGGGGGCAACCCUGAUCCAGCCAUGCCGCGUGUGUGAAGAAGGCCCUCGGGUUGUAAAGCACUUUCAGUGAGGAAGAACGCCUGGUGGUUAAUACCCAUCAGGAAAGACAUCACUCACAGAAGAAGCACCGGCUAACUCCGUGCCAGCAGCCGCGGUAAUACGGAGGGUGCGAGCGUUAAUCGGAAUUACUGGGCGUAAAGCGCGCGUAGGUGGCUUGAUAAGCCGGUUGUGAAAGCCCCGGGCUCAACCUGGGAACGGCAUCCGGAACUGUCAAGCUAGAGUGCAGGAGAGGAAGGUAGAAUUCCCGGUGUAGCGGUGAAAUGCGUAGAGAUCGGGAGGAAUACCAGUGGCGAAGGCGGGUUUCUGGACUGACACUGACACUGAGGUGCGAAAGCGUGGGGAGCAAACAGGAUUAGAUACCCUAGUAGUC
rnacentral:rRNA from 1 species